rnacentral:rRNA from 1 species
AUGAAUUAUGCUUAUGGAGAUGAACUUCCUAUAGUUCCUUAUGUUAAACAUGACAUUUUUGCUAGUGCACCCACGCAUGAUAGUCCUAUUAUCUUUUUGAAUUCUCCAAACUACACUAUAUCAGAGAAGUUUGCGUUUAUUAAGGAUUAUAUUGAUGGGUUGCCUUUUACUACUACACAUGAUGAUUUUGAUGAAUAUAAUAUGCAUGUGCUUGCUGCUCCUAGUUGCAAUUAUUAUGAGAGAGGAACUACAUCUCCACCUCUUUAUGUUUCCAACACGAAAAAAUUGCAAGAGACUGUUUAUACUACGCGUUGGCCUUUACUAUGUGUGCAUGAAUUGUUAUUUUAUGACAUGCCAAUGCAUAGGAAGAGAGUUAGGCUUCGUCUUUGUUUGAUAUAUGUUGCUUUGUUCUCACUACUAAAUGACAAAUCAUUGCUAAUUAAAAUUGGCUUUGAUAUACCUUGGGAUCCGGGUGGAUUCACUACUUGA